rnacentral:lncRNA from 1 species
GAUACGGAGUCUUCCUCUAUUGCCCAGGCUGGAGUGCAGUGGCUCAAUCUUGGCUCACUGCAACCUUCGCCUCCUGGGUUCAAGAAAUUCUCCUGCCUCAGCCUCCCGAGUAGCUAGGACUACAGGCGCACACCAUCAUGCCUGGCUAGUUUUUUUGUAUUUUUAGUAGAGACGGGGUUUCACCAUAUUGGCCAGGCUGGUCUUGAACUCCUGACCUCGUGAUCUGCCUACCUUGGACUACCAAAGUGCUGGGAUUACUGACGUGAGCCACCGCGCCCAGACUUCCUGCCUCUUUUCUAGUGUCCUGGCCUGCUUUGGAGCUCAGUCUGAAGUUAGCUCCUGCUUUGGGGGUUACCUCCCCCUGAACUCCAGGCUAGGCUGGGUUUCCCUGUUUUUCCUCCCAGAGCACCUGUAUAUCUUCUUUGUAGCAUUCAUUCAUUCAUUCAUGUUUCAUUCAGUAAGUAUCUACUCAGAGCACAUGGUAAGUCAGGUGCUGGAGACAGAGCACAAAGGGGUCACAACUCCCACCCUCGUGGUGUGCACUGUCUAGUGGGGAAGACAGGAAAACAAAGAAAUGCAUAACCUUGUACCAAAUACUCAUACUCCUACUUUUUGAAAAAUCAGGAAAGGGGAUGGAGAUUGAUGGGGUGGUAUUUUAGACAUGGGGGUCCGGAAAGGUCACUCAGAAGAGGUGACAUUUGAGCAGAGAUGUGAGCAAAGUGAUUUGUCAUAGCAUGCCUUAAUUAUUCUCUGAACUUCUGUCUCAUGCCUGUCUUUUCUACUGGGCUAUAGCUGAAGACAAAAUAUUUGCCAGUCUUGUUCAUGAAGGUAUUCCAAUGCCUAGAACAUUGCUUUUGCACAUAGUAGGUGCUCAACAAACGGGCCUUGCACACAGUAGUUAAUAUCACAGGUUAAAGACGAAGAAUAAGGGGGAUCCCUGCCUUGAUGGACAAGGAGAAAAGCAGGGCCCUGAUGAGGGAGCCCCGCACUGCCAGGAUGGAGCAGGAGUGUCAAAGGAAGCCUUCCAACAGCGGUGGCACAGGCGCCAAGGCAACAAGGAAGGGUGGGAGCUCUGCAAGGCACCGGGCACUCCAGGCAGAAGGACCUGUGUGGGGAAAAGCAAGGCAGCUGGAAAAAGCAAGCGGAGCUGCGAAGGCGCCAAGGUAUAAACACAGACCAAGAGCCAAGGGUGGGGCCGGUACAGGGGGUCACUGGGAGAUGCCAGCACCCUCCACCCAGGCGUCCUUCGGGGCCAGCCAACCUAAGGAAGGAGGCCAGGCCUCACGCCCCUCUGUGCCUGACCCCUAGCCACACUGCCCUGUGGGGCCCGGCCUGGUUUCCCCUCCACUGCUCAGGGCGGAAAUCCAGCAGGGGCAGCCAGGCCGACAUCCAACCCUCCCACCGCAGGCCUGGCCUCAGCCCCUCUCCGGGCCUUUAACGAAGCCAUAAAUCCCCCGCAGGGCCGUGGGAGGGGCGGCGGCCCUGCACAUGUCCCGGCGGCCGGACAGAGGCCGGCAUCUCUGGCUGGCGGUGACUGAGCGCCCCGACACCCCAUCACUCAUUCCCCGCGCCCAGCUGCCCCCGCCUCGGCAGCAGCCCAUCCAUCUCAGCCGGCAGCUUUCAAGUCCGGCCCCAGGCCCCUCUGCUUAGUGUUAAGAUGAGCCCGGCUCACGCGGACUGUUCUUAUUUAUCUGGAGGUUCGUCCCACUGUGGCCAUCACUCUGCGGGGCGGCCCCAGUUCCCGGGACAGGCCCCCAGAAUGCGAUCCUCCUCCGUUUCCUUUCCCGCCCCCACCUGGCAACGCACAGAGAAGGCCUGCAGCCCGAGGGCGGAUUUGUUUCAGUCGCAGGUCGCUGGGCGUUUUGACCUCUGCUGUUUUCUUGGAAGGCUUUCAGCAGCCCUUUGAGGCAUCAGUGUCCGUGCUCUGUAGCGGUGGAAACUGAGGCACAGAGAGGGAAGCUCAGAGUUCUCCUGGCUGUCUGGCUCUGAUGCAGGACCAGUGGCCAAUCUUUGGCCAAAUCCUGCGAGGCCUCCUGGGGCCUUUGCAUGGCUGCCUUGCAAGUUUGGUCAGAUCAAUUUUCGUCCAGCAUUCUCUGCUACACUGCAAAGUCCUCCAGGGCAAGGAUCCACUCACGGAGGCCUUGCUGGACUCAGUCAUGGGAAGGGGGAGAUUAGUGUUGGGGUUUUGGGCAUGUUAUGCAUUGAAUGUUUGUGUUCCCCCCAAAUUUACAUGUUGAAGCCCUAACCUCCAAUGUGAAGGUUUUAGAGGUGGGGUGUUUGAGAGGUAAUUAGGUUGAGAUGUGGUCAUGAGGGUGGAACCCCCAUCUUGGGAUUCACGUCCUUAUAAGGAAAGGAAGAAACACCAGAGUUACACCUCUCUGUCUCUCUCCUUGCCACUUGAGAACACAGUGAGAAGGUAGCCAGGAAGAGAGCCCUCACCAGGAACAUAAUCUGCCGGCACUUUGAUCUUGGACUUCUAGCUUCCAGAACUAGGAGCAAUAAAUGUCUGUUGUUUAAGCCACCCACCCUGUGGUGUCUUGUUAAGCCAGGCCAAGCUGACUACAACAGAAGGGUCGUUCUGGAAUCAGAUAGAACUGAAGCCCUGACUCUGCCACCUCCCAGCUUGGGGGGAAUCGUUGAUGUCUUAGUCACAGUUCCUCUUCUGCAAAAUGAGCACAAGUGCCAGAGCCCUCCAGGUCACACAUGCAAACUUCCAGGAGCCAUGUGGGUCUGUCAGGGAGCUCCAUGAAGGCCCACAGCUUCAUUUAUGAUCACCAUCACCCUCUCAGGGGUGCUUGGCAUGGGGUCCUCAGAGGGCAGAUGGCCUUCUGGGUUUAAUCUUGUCAUCUCAACAGUUCAGGGGCCCUCGCAGACCAGACAUAUUUUGCCUGUGGUCAAGGAAUCCAGGCUGGGCAGAGUCUUCCAUCUUGGAGGCGACUGGAAUUCUGACAGCCAAGCAUGGAAGCCACAGUCAUCUCUCAGAGGAUGACCACCUGUGUCUUUGAGGAAUAAGAAGGGGGA